rnacentral:rRNA from 1 species
GCCAGACUCCUACGGGAGGCAGCAGUGAGGAAUAUUGGUCAAUGGGCGCGAGCCUGAACCAGCCAAGUCGCGUGAGGGAUUAAGGCCCUAUGGGUCGUAAACCUCUUUUGUCAGGGAGCAAUGGCGUCCACGUGUGGGCGUAUGGAGAGUACCUGAAGAAAAAGCAUCGGCUAACUCCGUGCCAGCGGCCGCGGUAAUACGGAGGAUGCGAGCGUUAUCCGGAUUUAUUGGGUUUAAAGGGUGCGUAGGCGGGACCUUAAGUCAGCGGUAAAAUUGCGGUGCUCAACGCCGUAGAGCCGUUGAAACUGGCGAACUCGAGAGGGAGAGAAGUAGGCGGAAUGCGCAGUGUAGCGGUGAAAUGCAUAGAUAUUGCGCAGAACUCCGAUUGCGAAGGCAGCCUACCGGCUCCUGUCUGACGCUGAGGCACGAAAGCGUGGGUAUCGAACAGGAUUAGAUACCCUCGUAU